UACGUAGGUGGCAAGCGUUGUCCGGAUUUACUGGGCGUAAAGAGCGCGCAGGCGGUCGUUCAAGUCGCGUGUGAAAGCCCCCGGCUCAACUGGGGAGGGUCACGCGAUACUGUUCGACUCGAAGGCAGGAGAGGGAAGUGGAAUUCCAGGUGUAGCGGUGAAAUGCGUAGAUAUCUGGAGGAACACCGGUGGCGAAGGCGGCGUUCUGGACUGUAACUGACACUGAGGAACGAAAGCCAGGGGAGCAAACGGG
rnacentral:rRNA from 1 species